ACCUGAUAUUGAGACCAAUGUGAUAAAAAGAAUAUGUUCCUCUCCCCUUAUAAAA
rnacentral:sRNA from 1 species